UACGUAGGGUGCAAGCGUUAAUCGGAAUUACUGGGCGUAAAGCGUGCGCAGGCGGUUAUGCAAGACCGAUGUGAAAUCCCCGGGCUUAACCUGGGAAUUGCAUUAGUGACUGCAUGGCUAGAGUGUGUCAGAGGGGGUAGAAUUCCACGUGUAGCAGUGAAAUGCGUAGAGAUGUGGAGGAAUACCGAUGGCGAAGGCAGCCCCCUGGGAUAACACUGACGCUCAUGCACGAAAGCGUGGGGAGCAAACAGG
rnacentral:rRNA from 1 species